rfam:Pseudocohnilembus persalinus scaffold2150, whole genome shotgun sequence.
UUUAUAAAUAGAUACUAAGGCUAAAGCACCGGAUCCCAUUAGAACUCCGAAGUUAAGCGUCUUAAGGCGUGGUUAGUACUAAGGUGGGGGACCGCUUGGGAAGUCCACGUGUCGACAACC